rnacentral:rRNA from 1 species
GAAUCGGGGGCAAAAACCUAAAUCGGCCUGCCGCGUGUGUGAAGGCCUUUUGGUUGUAAGCACUUUUACUCGAAUAAAAGGCUACCGAGAUUAAUACUCUUGGAUAGUGGACGUUACUCGCAGAAUAAGCACCGGCUAACUCUGUGCCAGCAGCCGCGGUAAUACAGAGGGUGCGAGCGUUAAUCGGAUUUACUGGGCGUAAAGCGUGCGUAGGCGGCUUCUUAAGUCGGAUGUGAAAUCCCUGAGCUUAACUUAGGAAUUGCAUUCGAUACUGGGAAGCUAGAGUAUGGGAGAGGAUGGUAGAAUUCCAGGUGUAGCGGUGAAAUGCGUAGAGAUCUGGAGAAUACCGAUGGCGAAGGCAGCCAUCUGGCCUAAUACUGACGCUGAGGUACGAAAGCAUGGGGAGCAAACAGGAUUAGAUACCCUGGUAGUCCAUGCCGUAAACGAUGUCUACUAGCCGUUGGGGCCUUUGAGGCUUUAGUGGCGCAGCUAACGCGAUAAGUAGACCGCCUGGGGAGUACGGUCGCAAGACUAAAACUCAAAUGAAUUGACGGGGGCCCGCACAAAGCGGUGGAGCAUGUGGUUUAAUUCGAUGCAACGCGAAGAAACCUUACCUGGUCUUGACAUAGUAAGAACUUUCCAGAGAUGGGAUUGGUGCCUUCGGGAACUUACAUACAGGUGCUGCAUGGCUGUCGUCAGCUCGUGUCGUGAGAUUUUGGGUUAAGUCCCGCAACGAAGCGCACCCUUUUCCUUAUUUGCCAACGGGUUAAGCCGGGGACCUUUAAGGAUACUGCCAGUGACAAACUGGAGGAAGGCGGGACGACGUCAGUCAUCAUGGCCCUUACGACCAGGGCUACACACGUGCUACAUGGUCGGUACAAAGGGUUGCUACCUAGCGAUAGGAUGCUAUCUCAAAAGCCGAUCGUAGUCCGGAUUGAAGUCUGCACUCGACUCCAUGAAGUCGAUCACUAGUAACGCGGAUCCAGAAUGCCCCGGUGAAUACGUUCCAGGACUUGUACCACCCCGCCCGUCCCACAUGGGAAUUUUUGUUUGCACCCAGAAGUAAGUAUCUAACCGCCAGGGACGCUUACCCCAGACGUUGCCGAAGAAUGGGUGUAAGUCGUACAAAGGUAACCGUAAGGAACCUUGAGACUGGAAUUC